rnacentral:tRNA from 1 species
CGGUGGCUCAGUCUGGUAGAGCGCUAGACUUGUAAUCUAGUGGUCGCGGGUUCAAUUCCCGCCCG